CCAGGAUGCUGCACUUGGAUGGACUUGAAAGAGUUCUGUUUGUUCCAACGUCUAUAAAAACAUCAUGAACUUGAGAUUUCUGACAAGGACAUCAGCACUGGGUGAAAAGACGCACACAUAUCCUGACUCAAGGGCCUGUAAUUCUAUCCGUGACGUGGUUCUCCAAGUCCAGCUUUGUUCAUCCCAGCUCAUGUUCCACAUAAGUUUGUCAGGCCCAUGCUCCUUAGCCUUUGAGUUUCAGAAUGGCUCUCCUAAAAGGAACACUCCUAUUUGUCCAGGUUGCGAUCUCAUAUUCACUCUGGGCCAGACCAACUACACAACUCCUUAAUUCUUCAGUUGGCCGGGAGUGAGGUUCCAGGAUGCCACAGCCCUGUGCUCUGAAGACAACAAGUUCAUCUAUUCAGAUGGAUCUGAUUCACCUGACCUUAGGAGGAAUACACUGAAUUAUUUUUCAUGCUAGAGCAUAUUCCCAGGUAAAAUACUUCUAAUGUUACCUACACCUGCCAACCCUAGAACCAACUUCCAACAUCAAAAUAGGAGGGCCA
rnacentral:lncRNA from 1 species